AUGGUUCAAUCCAAAAUAAAUGCGCCAGAGAACAGCUGACAAUGAGAAGAAAACAUUUGUCUGAAUUAAAACAAGUCUACAAGAUUUUCAUAACCUUUGGUAAACAGUUUGUAAUUCACUGUAAAUUUUAUUUUUUCAAUGAUAUAAUUAAUAGUCUGGUGUUAGUUAUCUACAUAGUGCUGUAGUCUAGAGUCUUAGGGCAAUUCCUCAUGUCUUCCUGGUGUUUUUGACUACUGCGUCCCAAAUACUCCUUCAAGUAUCAUUUUCUAAUUUGCUUAAUUGACCAUAAUCCUGUUUAAAAUCCUUUGUCUAUAUUGGUUUUCUCUGUUAUUAGCUUUCCAGAUCCCACGGGCAGGCUCAUCAACAUUGGAGGAAUCAUUUUGCUCUGUUUCUUGUCAAUCCACUGACAGAUGAGACUCCUGACAAGCCCAGCUGAGCACCUUCAGCUCCACCCAGGGCUCUUGCUUUCCAUGCCUGGGGUGAGACCACAGCAGGCAGAACCACCUCACGCUGCUGACUGCCCUCUCUGUAUGGAUGAUGGUGGCCACCCAGCACAGCCCAUGACCUAUGGACACAAACGUGGCCUGAUGCAUGAUUAGGCCACAGCUCCUCACAGAGCUCCUCACAGAGCUCUCUGGUCUAGUAUAUCCAUAUCACUGUCUCUGCUACAUCUUGUGAUGGGAAUAAUUUUCUCAAAACUCAGGUCUUCUGGUUGUAGGCCACUAACCACUUACACACUCUAGUACCUCCCCACUGCCAACACCAUGAUGCUUCUAUCUGCAGUGCUGUAGGGUACACAGGCUCUCUUAACUCUGGUGUCCGAUCUGAAGACAGCCCCAGAUGGUUCUAGACUUCCCCUCUGUCAAAGUCCAGUGACCCCUCUAUCAAUUCCACAUGGAAGCAGGCUGACUGCCCUUCAUCUGCCUCCACCAUUUAUUAGCUCUGAGACCGUGGGCAAGGCCAUUCAUUAACUUUCCUGGAUUCUAGCCUCAUCUAGACUCAUCUAUAAAACAAGACUAACAUUCCCCUCAAUGCUUUAUGAGGUUGAACUGAGAUACCGUGUAGUCUCUGUUAGGUUUGAUAAAGGUCUAUCCUUUUAUCCGUCCCUGUCUCCUCAUGCAGGAGGAACCAAUGGAGCUCUCAAACCUGCCAGGACUAUGAGUGAUGGAAACGCUGGAAUCAUCAACUGGGUGCUGGGGUGAGAGGAACUCGGAAGCACAAAGAGGCCAUUCAGUCACUUUGGAAAAGAUCUGGCAGAAUUUAGGAAUCAGACAAUAGAGCACAAAUGUACCUGUCUACCCUCAUUAUGCAAUGUGAAGCAGCUAAUAGGAGCAAGUUAGAUCUAUAUCAACCAAUCUGGAACAAUAAAGACCAGGAUAUAUUAACAGAAAAGAGUAUGCAUGUGGCAGGUAAAGUGUACAGGUGAACCCAUUUUCUGUAGGUGUACUUGGGUAGAAAGGUGUGCAUGAACACAGAAAAGAGGGGUGAAAAGAAGCACACCAGAGCGUUAAUAUUGGUUAUGAGUGGAAGGUGGGAUUGGAUUGGAGAGCAUUAUUGACAUUUUCAUUAUAUAUAUUAUUUAAUUUGUUUAUUAAAAGUUCUUAACCACAUGCAAGCUUUAAGUUUACACUUUUUGUCAGACAUCAGAAUUUGUAGUGUCUAAAUGGGCAAAGUACAGAAAGCUUCUGUUUAUGGAACCCCCUAUAAUGGCCCAUUUAUUUUUUUUACUAAACCGAGGAGAAAGUGUGCUCUGUAAAAGCACACGAGCUCCUGGUGAACACAGACAGUCUCUGACUGCUGAGGAGGGUGAGCAUCGAGGUCGAUACAUUUGAUGGUGAGGUCAGCUUGGCUGAUUAUGAACUAAUAAGGCUUCUACCUGUGAAAGCCUGAUCACCACGGGGAAGUGGAGGAUCUCACCCCUUGUUCUAGAACAGCCUUUGAAUAGCCCCUGAUUGGAAAAGGAAGAGAAAUGAGCACCCUCUAGUGCCUGCAUUUCCAAACUCAGUGAGAGCUCGUUUCCAGUUUUACAUUGUUCAAGCUUUAGAAAUGCUCUUUGUUUCUGAUCCAAGUAGCAGUAUUAUUACAAUGUCGAUUGUAACGAUAUUCCAGUGUUUAUCAACAGCACACAGCUUUCUCAAAUAGAGCUUUAGUGAGUGGGUGGAAGAAAAUGCUGUCCCUAGGGAAGAUGUUCUGACUGUGGUCUGUUUAAGGUUCAAUUAUUUAAAAUAGCUAGUCUAUUUUUGGUCUUUAUUGCCUAAAGAGAUAAAACUGCAUUUGUCUUUAAAGCAUAGAUGCAAAUCACUCCAGCAAAAUUGGGGCUUCGGUCUAUCUGUGGGCCAUCCUUGGUGAUUGUAUAUUUGAUUAUUUCCACCCAGAAUGGCUCUCACAAUUCUUCAGGGACUAACACAUAGCCCUGCUCUAUAUGUGGAGCCUCUGCCUCACAACCAGCCUUUCCUAACUGGCAAAGGAGGGGAACAAGCAAAGGUCUCUGUUCAGUGCCCUGAACCAAAAUCAGGUGUGCGCUGGAGGAAGCUGGUGACCAUGAACUCUGUGUCUCUGACAUUGCCCACCAAUUCAUGGAAAUGGAGACUAAUGAUAUAGUUCAGUGUAGCAGCCACCAUGGCCUCAAAGCCACCCAAAGAAUGGAGAAGCCAUUUGUUUUUUUCUCCAUGAACUUUUUUUUUUUAGAAAGAGUCUUGCUCUCUCGCCCAGGCUGGAGUACACUGGUGAGAUCUCAGCUCACUGUGAGCUCCACCUCCCUGGUUCACGCCAUUCUCCGGCCUCAGUCUACUGAGUAGCUGGGACUAUAGGCGACUGCCACCACGGCUGGUUAAUUUUGAUUUUGUAUUUUUAGUAGAGUUGGGGUUUCACAUGUUAGCCAGGCUAACCUGACCUCAUCAUCUGCCCUCCUUGACCUCCCAAAGUGCUGGUAUUACAAGCAUGAGCCACUGCACCCAGCCUCCAUCACCUUUUAAUGCCAGUAUUUAAUGCUAUAUUUCACACCACUCUGCCAAUGAUUAGGUGCGCGAGACUCCCAAAUCCAGGACACCUGUGAGGGAAGGACAUUGGAGGAGAAAAGCCAGGAAGGCGGUGGGCAGUUAGGAAAUUCAGUCCUGCAGAAAGGCUUGGAUCCAGUUACUCAUCCAUGACAGGGAUUUCUCCUCUGUUUCCAGGACUCAUUAGAUCCUAGGAGAUGAAGGGAUAGAGGUUCCCGCUUAAUGCGUCCAGACUUCUGAAACACUCUACGUGGGAACCCAGAGGGCCUUUCACUAUCCAUCCUUUAUUCUUUCAAGAUUGGCCACUGGCACCUGGAACCGCUGUUUGUACUGAUGAUAAAAUCAGGAACAAAACAUCCACAAUUUCUAAAAUGAUGCGUUUUACAGUCUAGAGAGCAAGAGAAGAGUCCAUUAGUCACCCGAAGUCAUGGAAAAUGACAAUGGUGUUAAAUCUAUGAAUACUAACGCACAUUAUGAGCUGUGAGGAUUUAUAUUAAGGAGGUGCAGCCUAGGAAAACUGUUGAAGGAGCGUAUCCCUAGAGAUGGUAGUGGUUAAACUGAGAUUUGGAGCAAGAACAAAAAAGAAGAGACUUGUGUUGACCCAGAGGAUACAGCGUGGAGUGGAAAGGGCUUUGGUAGGAGGAGCAUGACGCGUGAGGAAUGGCCUGAACUGAGGCAUCUGUGGUUGACCUGGAGGUGAGGAUGCAGAGGAAGGGAGAGGACAGCUGGGAGCGGACAUCACGUGGAGGAGGCUGAGGACUGAUAUGAGCGUGGUGUGGGGAAGAUGGAGUUGUGAAUGCUGACAGGGAAAAGAACAUAGACCUGUGUUGUCAAUGCUGUCUGCAAAUAUACAACUUCAAAUGAGCUUUCCUUUCGAGAAUAACUGAAGAAAAGGACUUCUGAGGCCAGAGCUGCAGGAGGGGCCUGGAAGAGAGGCUGCAUCCACUCACAUCAUGGUAAAGUACAUUCCGUCGUCCAGCUGAGACUGGCCUGGAAGAGAAGCUCAGCACAGGGCAGAGUUUCCCAUGCACAGAGCUGCUCAGAAAUCUGAGGGCCCCAGCCUGGGCAGUGUUGGGGAGACUUCUAUGGGACAACGUCUUCCGCUGCCUGGAUCGCAGUCUCGUGAAGACGAGGCCACCUAUAUCUUCCACUGAGCAUUGUGUGCAGAGGAAGGUGGCUGUGGGGUGACUGCUGGUGCAAGAGGGCACAGAGGUCUGGGAGAGGCUGUCUGACACCAAGGCCACAUAUUUGGCUUUGAGAGAAAGUUACAGACCCUCAGCAAUUUCUCUGUAGUGUGUGCUGGGACGGAUCAGCUGUGCACCAGCUUCAGCUCCUAUUAACACCUACACAUGUAGUCAUGGAUGACAGUCUUAAGCAUCUCCAUGUUGCUUCGCAUCCUGCCUUUGUUCUCUGGUAUCUUGGGAUCUGGUUAUCCCAGAUUCUAUGAAGUCUAUGAUAGAAGGAAGUUGAGUGCCCAAAGAGGGACCUCAAUAAUGUAGACCUGUGGUAAAGGCUUAGGCUAGGAUGUGGUAAGCCAAGGAAAAGGCUUUAGGGGACUCACCUGCCCCCGGGAGGUAAAAGGCCUCACCAUUGAGGAAUCUGGUGGCCAAGGCAGGGUCAGGGAAAAUUCGGCGAAUUGUGGGAGGUUUUUCAGCUUGUGCGUUGGGGACAUAAUUCCUGGAUGUCAGUAGAGUCACUGGUGAUGCCACUGCCCCUGCCAGCUAGUGAUUCUGCCCUCUGCCUGCAACUCCUCCCUCUACCUGCUGCAACCUUCAACCUGAAGUCCAGUCAUAAACAUUCGCCCAUGUUGUCUCUGCUCCUGGCUGUCUUUCUUCUACAAGACAAUAGACAGACAAGGUUCAUGAUAAUUUGCCUUCCAAUUAUCUCUCCACUGUCAGCACGAGGUGUCCACUUUAGAGCUCUUUUUGACAGACGAUUGCUUCUUCACUGAACAUAUGUGCUUCCCUCCAAUUCCUAGGUCUCUAUCUUAUUUCUCACAUGAGAUAUAUUUCAGGUUCAUUUAUUCUUAUUGGUGAAAAUCCAAACUUAAAUUUUAGUAGAAUAAAUUGAGAAAAAUAUCAUUAGACAUUUAUAUGAGAAAGCAGUUUUUGUCUACACACAAACAAAAUUGUUUUUAGUUAUUGUUGCAUUAAAUUAAACUUGUGUAAAACACCAUAAAAAUGAAAGUGUAGGCUGCAGACUGGGGAUAGACAAAGGGAAUGCAUAUAAAUGAUUUUUAAAAAGUGUUAAAUUUAACAUUCCUCAAAGUUUCUAAUGAAGAGGCCAGAGUAAUGACCCCUGAAGACAUGUAAGCCUCUAGUGAGGCCCUGCUGGUCACUAGAUGGCAGUUUGAGGGCUCUGACUUACUGACCAGGACACAGAAGGUGAUGAUGGAGCAGGGGGGUAGGUGGAAAAUGGAUGCACUACUUUGUUUCCUACUUCUGGUCCUUACAAGCCAGGAGACACUGGGGAAAAUGACUGAAUGUCCCUGAGACUUCCAUCUGUCAAGGAAGAAUAAGAAUGAUUGAUGUGCAAGGUUGUUGAAAGACUUUAAGCUAUAUAACAAAUUCAAAGAAUCUAGCACACAUCUGGGGCUCCGCAGUCACUCUUCUACUGAAGUUACCCAGGAAGUGACAAGCUGCAAGAAGAUGCUGCACAGAAGCCGGCACACUCAGGGCAUAGGAAACCUGGGCUCUGUUUGGGAGAGCUCUGUGCUCAGUAGGACACAACACAUGCCUUCCAUACAACUAAAAGCUUCCCUUGCAGGAGUGAAACCUGGGUGGGGCCUGCAGCUCUCAAGUCAAAGCUAAGGCAGGAAGUUUAUGUAUAGAAUGUCAGAGACUCUGCCGGGCUGUGCCAAGCUGCUGGCACAGAGAUACAGGGCCGAGUCGUCCAGCUCCAAGGCGUUCACAUUCAGCUCAGAGCUAUAAUUAGGGAACUGGAGACCUGAGAAUCUAGGAGGGAAGUUUCCUCUGCCAUUCUCUUCCUCCCUAUAAUACUGAAAGAUAAACUGGGGCCCCUGACCCAGGGCCUGUUGGUACCAGGACACAGUGUUGUGCCCAGACUGAGAAGAGCAUCUCAGAGUCACUUGCUGUCCUCUCGUUUUGAUCAGGUGUGUGGGACUUUGGGUGACUCCAGUCUCCACUGAGCCUGUGGGAAAAGCAGAUGGAGGAUGAGCACAGCAGAAAGCCUGGAGGUCCUCCCCAAGAGAAAUACCACGGACUGGGCAAUGUAUAAAGACAAGAGGUUUAUUUGGCUUAUAGAUGUGGAGACUGGGAAGUCCAGGAUCAAAGGGCCACAGCUGGUGAGGUCCUCCUGCUGUUAUCCAAGGCAGAAGGAAGGGGAAGCAAGCACUUAAGACAGAGAAAACAGCUGAAUUCAUCCUUUUUAUUGGAAGACCAUUCCCAGGAAAACUAAGUCACUCGCCCAAUAAGGGCAUUGAUUUCUUUCUGAGGGCAGAUCCCUUAUGACCUAGUCAUAGCUGUCCCACCUCCCAAUACCAUUCCACUGACAAAUUUCAACAUGAGCUUUUGUGGGGACACGCAAGCAUAGCACACACAUCUACACUAUGAGUCAGUAUUUCCACUCUUAAGUGUAGGUUUUAAAAGAAGAAAAAAGAAUGCAUAUGUCCAAAAGAAAGAUUUCCACAAGAAUGUUCACAACAACUUUAUUCAUAAUAGUUGAAGACAGGAAUAACAUGGAUAUCCAUCAACAAGAGAAUGCACAAAAAAUUUGUGGUAUAUUUAUGCAAUGGAAUAUUAGUCAUAAGAAAGAAUGACCUACUGAUACAACAAUAUGAAUACACUUCAGAAAUACUAAUUUUGGAGAAAAAUAACUAAUAAAAUAUGAUUCCAUUUAUAUGAAGCUGAAGAAUAGACAAAGCUAGUCAAUGGUGAUAAAAACAGAAAAGUUUUUAUCUCUGGGAUAGAAAUUGAUUGGAAAGGAGCAUGAGGACACUUUCUUGAGUGAUGGAAAUUUUUUUUAUAAUCAUUUCAGUUACUGUUGCACUGGUGUAUGCAAUUGUCAAAAUGUACCAGGAUGUUUUUGUAUUAAUACUUGUGUUUUACUCUCAAUUAUACCUUAAUAAAAAGUGUUACUAAAAAUUAAA